AGCGGCGGACGGGUGAGUAACACGUGGGCAACCUGCCUGUAAGACUGGGAUAACUCCGGGAAACCGGAGCUAAUACCGGAUACUAUGUCAAACCGCAUGGUUUGACAUUCAAAGACGGUUUCGGCUGUCACUUACAGAUGGGCCCGCGGCGCAUUAGCUAGUUGGUGAGGUAAUGGCUCACCAAGGCAACGAUGCGUAGCCGACCUGAGAGGGUGAUCGGCCACACUGGGACUGAGACACGGCCCAGACUCCUACGGGAGGCAGCAGUAGGGAAUCUUCCGCAAUGGACGAAAGUCUGACGGAGCAACGCCGCGUGAGUGAUGAAGGUUUUCGGAUCGUAAAACUCUGUUGUCAGGGAAGAACAAGUGCCGGAGUAACUGCCGGCGCCUUGACGGUACCUGACCAGAAAGCCACGGCUAACUACGUGCCAGCAGCCGCGGUAAUACGUAGGUGGCAAGCGUUGUCCGGAAUUAUUGGGCGUAAAGCGCGCGCAGGCGGUUUCUUAAGUCUGAUGUGAAAGCCCCCGGCUCAACCGGGGAGGGUCAUUGGAAACUGGGAAACUUGAGUGCAGAAGAGGAGAGUGGAAUUCCACGUGUAGCGGUGAAAUGCGUAGAGAUGUGGAGGAACACCAGUGGCGAAGGCGACUCUCUGGUCUGUAACUGACGCUGAGGCGCGAAAGCGUGGGGAGCGAACAGGAUUAGAUACCCUGGUAGUCCACGCCGUAAACGAUGAGUGCUAAGUGUUAGAGGGUUUCCGCCCUUUAGUGCUGCAGCUAACGCAUUAAGCACUCCGCCUGGGGGAGUACGGUCGCAAGACUGAAACUCAAAGGAAUUGACGGGGGCCCGCACAAGCGGUGGAGCAUGUGGUUUAAUUCGAAGCAACGCGAAGAACCUUACCAGGUCUUGACAUCCUUUGCCACUUCUAGAGAUAGAAGGUUCUUCUUCGGGGGACAAAGUGACAGGUGGUGCAUGGGUGUCGUCAGCUCGUGUCGUGAGAUGUUGGAUUAAGU
rnacentral:rRNA from 2 species